ensembl:snRNA U6 U6 spliceosomal RNA
GUGCUCGCUUCAGCAACACAUACAUUAAAAUUGAAAUGAUAUAGAGAACAUUAGCAUGGCCACAGUGCAAGGGUAACAUGCAAAUUCAUGAAGUAUUCCGUAUUUUU